UGUAAAUUCUCCUGGAGCCUGUCAAGCUAUGUUUGAACUCGUUCCAGAAUAGUGGAUUUACUUUUUUUUCCCCACCAGGAAGAAUACUCGAGUAGACUGUAUUUUGCCUUGCUUUUCUUUUUUCCCUUUCUUUCUUUCUCUCUCUCUCUCUCUUUCUUUCUUUCUUUCUUUCUUUCCUUUCUUUUUCUUUCUUUUCUUCCUUUCCUUUUCUCUCUUUCCUUCUUUCUUUUUCUUCUUUCUUCUUUCUUCCCUUCCUUCCUUCUUUCUUUACAUUUUUUUUCCUCCAGAAGAAUGGAAACAAUAUUCAUUUCUCAUCAGUUCAGUAAUACAAUGCCCUUCAGUGUCCAUAUGAGCAUUUCAGUGGAGAAGAAAAGAAACUUUGCUACCUGGGAACUGAAGACUACUUAGUGAAGAUCCUGGUGUUACACAUCCAAUUGUUCACCUCCUUCCAAGACUAUGACAUUCCAGGAAACCUCCAGUCCUAAGAGGAACUGAUAUCUACAGUAUCUCCUCGAGGAAGUACAACCGCAGACUUGUCUUGGGACAAAAUUGAGAAGAACUCAUAAACUUGGCUUACUCGCGUCUGCUCCUCAGGUGAGUUUAAUUCCUAUUUCUAUUAUGCAAUGUUAUUGAAAAAUAUUUUCCCAGGUUUCUGUUGAAGAACUGCCUUUUUUGAUCUUUUCGAUGCUGGCACUCUUUUAGAAUUAACCGUGGAAAAACUUGAUGACACUUCCAUCCUUCUUGUAAAAUUCAUCUUUGGAGUAAUUUUACAGUGUGCGUUUUCCCCUUGGACAUUUUAAAGAGCUGGAUUUCCGUCUCUUUGCAGAGCAUUAUAGCAGCUGUGUCUCAUUUGCUUUGCAAGGGCAUUUGAAGAAAUUGCUAUUUUGUAAGCUGCUUAACAUAUGAAAUAAUUGUUUUAAAGCACUUUACAGUUUGCUUAGUGCUUUUUAAAAUGACAGUUGUUUCACCCUGUCAUUUCUUAUAGAAGCACAGGAUGUAUUAUUUACAUUUUUCAGAGAAGGAAAUAGAUGUACCGAAGACAUAACAGCGGCUUGGCAGGGCAAUUAAUCUCCUAAAUUAAUCAACAGAUUAAAAUCUCUCCCUUCAGAUCCUUUAAUACCUAUGACCAGAAAGCCUCAUAUCUUUUGACCUAAACAGGUAGACAGACAUACCCGCUUUGCUUCACAGCAAUUUGCAGUCUAGCUAGUUUUAGAUAUACCCUAAUAAGCUGCCUCAGUGACUGGAAGUCAGAACACUGUUUGGACAGAUUAAACAUUGUUUGGCUGUUUUUAUUAAAAGUGAUGUACUGGGUGGCUAAAAGCACUUGUUUCGGAGUCAGAUUGCUUGGGGUUAAAUCCAAAUUCCAACUUGUAUCAGCGGUUUGGACUUUGGUGAAUUAACCUCUCUCAGCCUCAUUUUUCUUACGUGUAAAAUGGGAACAAUAAUUGCAAAUUCGUGGAAUUAUUGUUGUGAGGCUUAAUUGAAUUAAUCCCUAUAAAGCUCUAAGCACACAGCACACAGUAAGCCUUCAGUAAAUGUUAGCUGUUAGCAUAUAGUGGUUCAAAAGGUGGUUACCUGGCCAUUUUUCCUGAGGUUCAUUUAGAUUGAUUUGUUUCAUGAAAUUAUACAUCUGGCCCAGUCAAGACCAGAUAUCUUAGUGGUCUUGAUAGAUAGUUGGUGGGUAGACAGAACUUGUACUAGUGCUUUCUCUGCUUUAGAGUGCUGUGAUAAUUACAACGUCUCAUUCCUCUCUCUAAAACACAAAGUGGCAAUGUUGUUCCUCCUGAGUAAUUUGCAACAUAGACAAAGGACCCCAUUCAGUACAGCCCAUGGUAUUCAACCUAGCACUUUUGGAAGGGUAGCACACAAAAAGGCAAAAGACAACAUGGGUUUUCUUAAAGUUCAAGGAGAAAGUAAAGUGCAGAAGUAGUACCGACCUGUGUAGUUGUGAACUGACUGUCGUUAGAACACAUAGGACUCAGUCCCACAUCUGCUUCUCACUUCCUGGGUAAACUGGGCAAAGCAUUUUGCUUCUCUGUACCUUUGUUUUUCCUAUUAUAAAUGGGAAUGAUAAUACCUGCAGGAUGACCAACUUGUCCCUUGGCCAUUCCCAUGGCAAGUGCUAUGUCCCAAAAGCCUCUCAGUCCUGGGGAAAACUAGGAUGGUUGGUCACCCUAAGUACCUACCUCUCUUCUCUUACUGUGGUCACCAUAUGAGCAACAGAAUAAAAGUGCUUUGACAUUUCAUGAAAUGAAGAAUAUAAUAAUCAACUCAAUUCUGAACACCCAAGUUCCAGAAAUAGUGCUUUGGGGUAUUGGAAGAAAAACAUAGCAAUACAGUACAUUAUAGUACCUUUGUUCUUAAGUAAGAAUAAUGCACCUUAAUUCUUGGUGCAUCAUUCUUGGUGCUGAGAAAUAUGUAACUGGAACCAUGUUUUAUGUCAUCCUUAUGUGUUUACAUACAUGUAAUUGAAAGUACACAAGAGUAUUUAUAUAGAAUAUUUAAGACAAGUACUUUCAGGUUGUCAUGAAGAUAAUUUGCAUUGGAAAAAGCUCGUAUGGAUCAUCUUUACUUCUUGAAAAGUUCUGUUUUGUACCCAAGGCAUAUUUUGGAUGUGACUGCCAUUUACAACAAAUUGAUUGGUUUUAGAAAACCUCAAAGGAAAACAAAAAAGUCUGAGGAAGGCGUCAUAAUUGAUCAUCUACUUGGUAUCAAAAAAUAAGUACCCAUCAAAGAAUAAUAGUACGUUGCCAGUAAUUAGUGUGAAGCAGCAAUGGAGUUCCAGAGAUAUGCAAAAAUAUCAACCAAUGUGCAUACUCAAGAAUUAGAGUAGUUUUCACAAAAUGAUUCAUUUGGUUUGCUUUCAUGUCAUACAGAGAUUACACUUGAGUGGAACUUCAAAAUGUAUAAGCAUGUAUUUGCUUGAAAAGUCAAAAGUUUGUUGAUUGACUUUUAUUUGUGUUUCACCCAGAGGCAUCUGACUAGAAUUAAGCCAAUGCAAACCCUAUAAAUGCCAAAGUGAGGUUUCUCAUAGAUAUAUACAGCAAAGAUACAAAACACAUAUGCAGUAUGUAUUAGUAAGAGCAUCAAAAUUAGCAAACUUCAUUAAACUCAGUUGCUUAUGUAAAUACAGAGAAGUAAGAUGUAUUUAAACAAUUAGCCUCAUUUUUGCUCAUUUUGUGCUUGGCUUUUGAAGUGGGACAUGCAAACCUCCGUUAAGGGAGAUUAAGGGAACUGAAGACCCUGAACAUGUCACACACUCUUUCUUCAUCUACCCUAGAGGACCAACUGCAGGCCUGGAUACAUGGUACUCAGUAAAGCCUUGUUAACUUACAUUGAGUGUUCUUUGUAUUAAUAAUCAUUCGCAAUAACAUAAUGAAACCAAAGUGAGAAGGGCAUGGCCUAGCAUUCCACAUUCAACUUUUCCCCAAGGAAUGAACUACUUUACCUCUCAGGCAGAAGCAAAGAACUCAUUCAAAAGCAGAGCUGAAGGCUGUUGGAGUUAUUGUUGUUUAUAUUUCUCUGGACAGAGGAGUAAUUAUAUUGGCUUCAAAGGCCUUUUCUUCUACCUUCCAUCCUGGCAUGCCAGUGCUGGAAGAAGCCUCCAUUCUGUUCCUACAUUUUACAAAUGGAAACCCAGAGAAGGAAACUAUUUGCCCAAGGUCACAGAUGCAGACCUUCUCAGAUAUUUGUUAAUCCUAAUUUAAUUUCCCCACAUUUCACUGAAUAGAGCUGCAGGUGAUUUUCUUGGCCUUGGCCCUUUUUUAGUUUAGGAAAUACCGUCCUUCCUAGAUCCUUCCCACCAUCCAGUGUUGUCCCAAUCCCACCACUUCUUAGACAACUCUCCUUCCUUCCAGUGCUUUCAAAUGGCAUUUUCUUUGCUCUCAUCUAGAACACCUGUACAUUCAUUCCAAGGUUUCAAGACAAGGGAAUCUUCUCGUUGACCCAAAGUGCUUUCUUUGAUAUAUUGAUGCAUCACUCCAGGCUUCUACCAAUUUCUCUGAGGCUUCAGGUGUGAGUCAGGGUUUUGCUUUAUGGUUAAUUUAGCUGGUGAUAAGAGCAAGCUGAAACUUGUGAGGAGAGACAUAAGUUGCAACAAACCGAGGUCAGAGCUGGAACAGAACCUCCAAGAAGACAGAUUGCCUGUGGCUCUGAGAGCAUCAUUCCCUCGACGAUAGUGAUGCAGACAGAAAGUAGAAAAAUGACAGUCUCCUUUGAGGGGCAGAUGAGGGCACAAAGGUUUUUCAAAACUCAGUCCCACAGAGAGGAAAUCUGCUUGAAUUUAUUCAGGCCCCUUCCUUUUAAAUCCUGAUUACCCUUGGCUCUGCUAGGUGCUGAAAUUUAUGCAUCAGCGACAGGUGAUUCUUAUGUAAGAAUGGACUCUCGGGCGUGAUAAAUUUGGUCUUGAGAAAUCUCAGCUCAGUGGCUACAGAUGGCAGUGUCAUGAUGGCAGAGUUAGAGAGCGGCAACCUGCUGGGCUGUGGGCUGUCUGUGAAAUGGCUACUCAGUUCAGAACUGUCUGAGCCAAUUCUUUGAGCCCCAAGGUCAUGACCAAGGGGCACAGCCCAACUGUAAAGUUGACAUUCAUUCUAGCAAAAUUCUUCCUUCUCCCUUGCACACUGCAUCUGGCUCACUCAAGGGUCCCUCAAGAAUUGGGUUGUAACCUGUGUUCUUUGUGAAUACCUUUAUCAUUUGGGGUCUCUGUCUAUCAUGACUAGUCCUGUUAAAGGUCAAUUCUAUGCUUGUAAAGAAUUGCUUACACUAGAGGUUUUGCACCAACUGGGUUGGGUUGGCCAAGGAGGCAUUUCUGUGCACUCAUCCCAGUCAGGUUCUAUCUGUGAUCUAGGUCCCUUUUUAGUGACAACUUAUAGUUUGCAGUUUCUUAACUUUAGUUUUGAAGAGUUUUGAAAUCCCUCAAAAGUACACAUGCACACAACUGUGAACAUAUAUGCCUCUCUCUAAGGAAAGGGUCUACCACUUUUAUAAAAUUAUUAUAGGAGUCUGAGACCCAACAAAUAAUGAGUCACUAUUGUAGAUGGAGAAAAUAUUCUGAAGCAACCCUUGUUUCCUUUCAACUAGAUUUCCCACUUUGAAUUUUGGAUUGAACCUGAUCAGAGGUAAGCAAUACAAGGCAAACUUGGGUCCUGGCUUAGACCCUGCCUCUACAUUUCCUGAGUAUGUGAGCUUAGACAUGCCACUUCUGUAUGUCUCACAUCCUUAGAAAAUUGAUAAAAUGGGGAAAAUAUUACCGGCCUCAUUAUGCCAUUGAGAAUUAAACGAGAAUAUGUGUACAUUGUGCAAUGCACCUGGCAUUUGAGAAGUAUUCAAAAACCAGUAGCUAAUAGUGGUGGGAGCCCCAUGGAACUCAUGUCCCCAGACUAUGUGGGCUGAUGGCCAAUGCCGUGUGUCUUCUUUCCUUCUGCAUUUUUAACUUUUUCCUGCCUUUGUCUAUUCACUGAGUCAUUAGCUGCCAUUUUAUAUUCCUCAUAAGUAUCAACAUAUUUUAACCACAACUCUUUUAAAAUGUUUUUAUAGAUUUAGGGGGUAUAAGUGCAAAUUUCUUACAUGCAUCUAUUGCAUAGUGGUAAAGCUUGGGCUUUUAGUGAACCCAUCAUCCAAACAGUGAACAUUUUACCCAAGGGGGAAUUUUUCAAGCAUCACUGUCCUGCUACUCUCCCACCUUUUAGAGUCUCCAAUGUCUAUGAUUCCACUCUGUAUGUCUGUGGGUGCCCAUUGUUUAGCUCAAACUUAUAAAUGAGAAUAUGCGGAAUUUUGACUUUCUAGUUCAAGGUUAUUUCCCUUAGGACAAUGGCCUUCAGUUCCAUCCAUGUUGCCGCAAAAGACAUGAUUUCAUUUUUUUUUUUUAAGACUGAGCAGUAGUCUAUGAUUUAAUCACCACUUUGAGAGUAUGUCAUCUCAUAUUCUGAGAUGCCAUAUCCUCAUCUUUAAGCCCACUUCUUAUGGGCAAAUAAUAAUUGUCAUUAGACUCCCAGAACCCCAUUAACAAACGUUACUUUUCUUUGAAAUGAACCUGUUUUAAUAAUUUUUAAAAUUUAUUAAUAAUAUGUAAUGUAUAUUUUAGCUACAGACAUUUUCUCUGCCUUACUUGUCUUUCUCUUCUCCAUUAUUAUUCCUCAUUCUUCUCUCCAAAGACCUCUGCAAACAUGACUUACCUUGGAAACUAUAAGAAAGGAUGGCCUCAUGUGAGGAUACUCAUCAUCCUGACAUUAAUGUGCUUCUCUUCUAUUUGGCAUUUGAGUCCAACAGUAUCUGAUCUCAGUCCUUCUUUUUAGAAUCAAUAUUUUCAUAGCAAGUGUAACAUCAUCCUAAAUAGGGAAUCCCAUUUUUUUUAAAGCUAGAGAUGGCAGUUUGGUGAGAUUGGCCAAAAAUAAUUUGAAGAAAGAAUGCACUAAGGGUGAAAAUGUUAUAUUUAUGAAAAUAUUAUGAAAGCUAAAUGUGAUGCACUUGAAAAAUAUGGCAGGAUAUUUCAUGGUAUAUUCAUGAAAUCUGUAUCCAAACUAUAUCAAUAAAUACAUGUUCAAGGGAAUAUAAACAUUUCUUCCAUGUAUGCAUUUCUGUUCAUCUAACUCAUUGCUUAACCACAGAAGGUAGUAAAUAAAUGUUUGUUAGAUGAAUAUUUAUAUUUAUAUUACAAUGUAAAUAACAUUACUUAUAUUUUAUUUAUAUUAUGCAGAUAAGGAAAAUACAAUAGUCCCCUAUGUAAUGUGUUGAUGAACAUAAUAUUUUGGAAGCUCAGUUAACUGAUAAACCACUAAAAGAAAGUGCCUUCUAUGUUUGUUUUCUAUGACAAAUAGAAAUUUUACAGACUAUGGAUGUAAGGCUUUUGAGUGAACCUUUGUGAGUGUGUGAGUUACCAUUUAGUUUGUUAGCUGUUUUGUCAUUACAUUCGUUCAGAUAGAAUAAUUCUUUAGAAGGCCACAGCAGUCUUGUGGACAUGCACCCUUCCCUCUUUAUCUCAAUCUUGGAUUUCAUAAAAGAAAUAACAAGCAAAAUUCGAGUGGUAUCGGCCUGCCUGAUUCAGGGGUGUCCAACCAAGUAAGGGCAGAAGCAUGUACUGUAAGAAGUUUCAAGAUCCUGUUGUCCCAGUGGGAUGACUCGCCUGAGAAGUCAGGGUGGAAGGAUAGCAGCUUGGCUGGGAUAUAGCUGCCUGCAUCAACCAACGUCUUCAUUAGGUGUCGCUGAGCCUGGGGCAUUGGGGCAUUCAGAAGCAAGUGGGCAUGUGCAAGGGUUAUAGAAACAGGAAGGUCACAAGAGCAAAAGAGAAUGAAACAAAGAAUUUAUCUCCCAAAGGAACAGUGUCAUUUUUCUUUCCUUUAUUGCUCUGAGAGUCCUGUAUUCACCUUUGGUUACUCAAUACUGUAUUUCAGGUGUGUUGCCCAUAUCCUUGCUUAUACUGCUCAUUAACCCUCCUUGUUUUACAAAAACAUUUAAGCAAAUACAACCUUGGUUCUUACCUGGUAUUUCUGUUAGGGAAUGAGAAAAAGUAAUCCAUAUUUAUUGGACAUCUAUAGGUGCCAAGCGACUUUAUGUACUCUCCAACUCAACAUGCUUUAGAUGGAAAAAACUGAAUAUGAGGAAGUUAAGCAACCUAUCCAGAGUUUCCGCCUAGGUGGUAGGACUGUGUUUGCGACCCUUGGCUGUCUGCCUCUGUAUUUCUACGUGGUAACUCCUUAGGACAAAAAGAAAAUUCUGAGAACCUGGAUAAAAGGACAUGCUUGGUGAUAAGAAAGAUUCUGUUUGAAGAUUUGUUUUCUUGUUUCCAUGCACUCCUUUUGUAUGCAGGUCAAUACAGGGGAACACUCAUUUUUUCUCCACAUAUGUAAGCUUGAGUCUUCCCCCAUCUUUCCUGCUAAUGCAACUACAAAGGUUCCAUGUUAGAGAUCAGGGUCCAUGACUUCCCUUCUGGUAUAGGGCAGGCCAGUAUGGUUAUGGGAGGUAAAAAUGUGGAACAGAGACGGAUUUGUCAGAGCCAGAUCAAAGGGUUGUGUAUGGCCAAAUACUGGAACUCCUUGGUUUUCCUUUUAUUCAUCUUGAUGUUUAAAGUAGUUGCACUUGAGCUUGAAUUUAUUCUAAAACAAUGUUGUAACUCACUUCUGGGUUCCUUUUUCAAGUAGUUUAUUUAGUGUUUAAAUUCCUGUGCCUUGAAAGUUUCUACCUUGAAAGUUUCCCAGAUGCCUUUCCUCCUCAUCCUCUAUCCCUGCUGCUCUUUCCCACUGAGCUUGAAUCCCUGGUGCAAAAUAUUACACUGAAUGCCAAGUGCAAGGCAACAGAUAUCUCUGUGAAAACUAAGUUAAACAAAAUCUGACCACUUCUAAAAACUUGCUGAAACAUACUGAAACACCUCUUGUGUUAGUGCCAAGGUCAGGGAGCCCAGACUACACUUGAGCACAGGCAUUUGAGUCUGUCAAAUGAGUCAAUCAAAUGGGAAUGUUGGAUUUUUUGGUCUGAUGCAUGUCAAUAUUGCUAUGUGUAAAAUAUAUCUGUUUGCUAUAUCGCAAUUUGCCAUCACACUAAACCAUAAGUUGAAGGAGUGACUGAUGUACUGAGUACAUUUGUCUUUAUAAGAAGUUCCUUGUUGCAGAGGCAGAUGAAUUUUUGUUGAAGAUUUUUUAGUCUCCUCUUUCUUCCUUUCCUCAUCUCUCCCUGCUCACCUGCCUCCUUUGUGCUUCCUUAACACUUCUACAAGAGAAGUAAUUUCUCUUUUUUU